AAGUCUAAAAAUAAAUUUCGUUUUCAAAAUUUUUCAAAAUUUUUUCUUUAACGCACAUUAAGAAAACAGACUGAAUUAUUCUAUUAAAAAGUAUAUAAUAAAUAUAUGGUUAUUUACGGUCGUAAUAAUCUAAAUAAUUUAAGUAAUCAAUUAUUUAAAAUAAACAAUAAUCCGAUCACGGUUCAUUACAAAUGAAAACAGAAUGUCCAGAAAUAUACAUACAUAUCAAAAAUCAAUAACUCUAUGUUACCGACAUUUCAUUCGCUAUUAACACGGAACACAACCAAAAUUUUGUACAUAUCAUUUAUACAUAUUCGUCCAAAUGUGCACAUUGGCUACGUACGUAGUUCAUAUGUAUAAUAAUUUCUCAGAUUCACAGAGAGUAUAUUGCGUUUGAAGAUCAUCUUAAACAUAUUUAAUAAAAUCGGACCGUGUCGUCUGUGUCAGUCUUGUCUUUUCUCUCUCUCUAGUCCUACGUAUAGGAGACACAAAACAUAGGAAAACAUACUAAAAAAGAACAGAAGGAAAGAAAUGCUCUAACAAACAAAUUACACAGUCUCGUGCCCGCGAAUGGCGUCUGACGAAUUGCUCUCUUGUUCCUGUAUGAAUUUAGAAUAAGAAUUAUCGGAUUUCUCGCGUUUGAAUGGAGAAUAGACAUUAAGGCAAGUAAGAGAAGGCAUAUGCAAACAGUAGAACUAUUUAGAAAAACAAUUACUAGAUUGGUUUUUAAGUUUUGGAGACUCAUUUGUAAUACGUUCGUCUCUCUUUCUCUCUCUCUUUCUCUCAAUUUUUUUCUUGUAAAGCAUAUAAAAGUAACUUGAUUCAAUCUCAGAUUGUCACGUAUAUUCUGAUCCGAUACAUUUAAUAAAAACAAAUGAUUUACAUAUACGCAAAAUAUAAUAAGAUUAUACCUUUACGAUUACUAUAACAAUACUAAAUAUAUAGGUUAUAGAACAUUUUUCGUUCAGGAAAUGAUGAAAGACAACGAGUUGGAGCUUGAGUUUUACGGGCGUGAUGUUGGACUAGGGAAGAGGAAUGCACGGAAAUAUCUAUUGGUCUAGGACUCGAAGACCUUCGAGAGUGGUGCAUGCGGGGUCGUUUGAUCUGGAUGCGGGGCGUCGGGACGCAAGGUUACAGCGGUCGUCGGGUCAGCAACACCACGGCCGUCCCUCCCGCUUUUCCCUUUCCACCCUGACCGCCAGCCCUCGUCCUCCCACCGCCGUCGCCACGCUCGAUGUACGUCUGCCCUUCCUUUCUAACCCUCCUCCUCAUCGAGAAUGAGAGGAAGAGAGAAAGGGAAAGAAAGAGAGCUGCUGCCCUUCCACCCGUCUCCCUCCCUCGUUGUCCUCUAUUUGUCCUCACUCACUAGUACCAGGGCGUGCCAUCUUUGCGAAUCUACAGAGAUUCUUAUUAAUAGUUAUGGUUGGACAAGGGAUCGUCCUUGUUUUCACAGAAUGUUUCUAAUCAAGAAGAAGAAAAGAAAGUUCUAAUGAUUCGGAAUGAUUCCUGAUGACAAUUAUGACAACUAUCUAUCUACAACGGUGCUUGCCGCAGUAUUGAGCAUCCUGUUCCAUCCUAAAAUGUAAGUUUACUUAAUUUUUUCUAAUAUUAUUGCUUUAAACAAUCAGCUGUGUUGAAUAAAAUCAGCUGAUUUGAAAAAUCAAUAUUAAAAUUUUGAUAUUUAAAAAUUGAACUCCUAUUGAAUGACCUAUUAAAUUUAAAAGGAGUCAGUGAGUCGCAAUGAUACAACAUGCCUUGAUUAUCUGAUAGAUAUAUUUUGAGAUUUUCUAAUUGUAAUUGUUUUGUUGAAGAGAGAGUUGCUUCUUCUUUUUGGUAUUAAUAUGUUUUAUUUAUAUUAUUUAUAUUUACAUGUAUCGUAGACAACAUUUAUAAUUUUAAUAAAAUCUAUAUAUAGAUCAGAUUAAUUCAAAUAAAAAUAAAAUAAUAAAUUCAACAAUAAGUUAAAAUUUAAAGUGCUGAUAAUUAAUAUUUAAAUCAAAGCAUACAUUAAAACUUCAAAAUCAAAAUACUUAGCACAUGAAAUAAAUAACUGUACAUUAACGUUCAAAUAGACAAAAAUCUAAAAAUGUUUUAUAGUAAUAAUGAAAAGUUUUAAUUUUAACUUUAAUUCCAUACAAUUUAAUUGCUGAUUAUACAAUACAGAAAUAAGUAGGACUUUACACAUGGGGUAAAUAAUAUGUGAAUACAUGGUAAAUUUUUUUUACAAAUGAAUAAACGAUAUAUCGCGUUUAUCGUGCUUGGGCGGUGCAACGGUUUAUCAACCAGACGGGGUUUUGCACCCUCGUUCCAUCGACUAUAGUAUAGGGUUCUAGAAGCAUCUACAGCUACCCGAUGGAGGGAGAAUCGUCUACUGGAGGGGGUGUCUGGGUCAAUCCCCUCCAGUGUCUGGGGGUUCGCAAAACCAAACGCAUUUCCCGGGGUUCGCAAAUCCGUGCGCGCGCGGCAUUACGAUUGGGAAUCCCAUGACACAUUUUCGAUCGCCGGCAAUGUUCCAUCGACAAUGUGGCUUGAUGCCAGUAAAAGAUACUUUUAGAUUAAAUUGUAUAUUAUUACAUCUUCUCUACAACGCACUUGCUUGCUGAUCUGGCAGGUUCUCUUGAUGAAAACACAUUUUCCAUCAAAAUAUGAUUAUACAGUGUCCUUAGAGACGCAACAAUCAAUCAAACAAAAAUAUAUAUAUUUGAUCUUAUAGAAUAAAUUAUAGAAAAAAUUAUUAUAAAAACUAUUUAAAAAAACACUUAUAGCAAAAUUAUUGAGAAAAUCAUAUUUAUGUCAUUAUUGAAUCUUCAAGAUCUUGCAGUAAAUUAUCAGGAAGUAACAUCAAUUAAUAUUUGAACGUCGAUUACACUUUUUUCAGUUAUUCUUUCGUCCCUCAUUUCUCAUUUGGUUGUCGCGCGUUUUUUUUUAUUUAAAGGAAAAUGCAUAACACGCUUGCAUUUACCGAGUAGUAGCCGGACAUCUACAUACACGGAUAAUGCACGUGCUCAGGGAAGAAGGCACACGCAUUGCAAGUAAUAAAACUCGACGAAAAUGAGUCGACGAGCAUAAAAGUGGCACAAUUGGUUCAGUGGGGCGGUGCCCCUGCGGCCUUGGCUCGGGACAGUGAACCCCGUGGCCAUGCGAAACGCGUGCAGCCACGAGUGCAGCACACGGUGUCCUAUGCACUCUAUCUCCCUCCGCCCCCGAUACCACACCGUGUACCUCAUCCUCUUCCCUCCCUCUUUCUCUCCCGCGUGCUGUGGACUUUUUCCCUUCCUUCGUCCCCCGCGCUGCACCCAUUUUGCACAUAUGCAACGUCCACUCUCGGACGUUUCACUCCAAGCCGUAAUGCUGUCAGGGCCGGGUAAAACAACAGUUCAGCUAAAUAUUGGCCCGCAUUCGCGUUGAAUCGCAGUCGCCGUCUGAUCAAUUUUUAGCCUACCAUCUCGCCAGUCUUGGAUAAAUUUGCCGGCUCAGUACUUGUGAAGUAGCUCUAGAUCCCAUAUUCUAUAACUCGUCUAUUUUUUAAUAUUAUUGACAAUGUGAAUGAAUAAGUUUAUCUUUUCUUCAUGCUAAACAAUCUUCUUUUUAUUUCAUGUGGAAUGGGAACCUGUCUCGUCGAAUAGCUAGGCGCAAACACUUCCAAACUUUAGUAUUAACUAUAUAUAUAUAUAUAUAUAAUUUCUUCUUUUUAUUACCUAAAUAUCAGAGAAUAUAAUCGAUGAAUUUGGUUAAAUAAUAAUUCUUUAAAUUCUUGGAUUGUACGUCCUCGUGUUAAAAUAGGAUGAAGAAUCGCUCGCGAAAACUGAAUGGAAGAUUAGCCCAAAUUGAUUGUCGAAGAUUAAAAACUGGUAGCGGAUAUGUUUCGAUCAGAGGAACAUUAGCUUCCAUCCCUGGAAGCUGGCAGGCACGUACGCACGACGCGCCUGGAUGCGUGUAUGCGCGAACGUUGCCACGCUCUACAAAGCCGACGAGCGAGCUAACGCGCGGAGAACGUUCACCCUGACUGGUGCAUCGGCCCUUCGCAGCGUUUCUCAAAUGUAAGCAAAACCGUCAAUUGGUAUCCGAGGUCUCUAGGUAAGGUCGCAAGAGUCGCGGAGCUUGAUCAUGCACAUAACUGAGAUACCUGGCUACAACUCACCGCGAUUAAAUAUCCAAAGUUCUUAAAAGCAUCGGAGCUCUGUAGGAUUUUUGGGAAACGGAAUUACUAUCUGUACAUAAAAAAUUCGUGAUUCAUAAUAGCUGUUGAUUCUUCGCAUUCUUUCGUUUCUAAAAUCAAACAUAAAAUAUCCAAGUAAUUGAAGAUUCAUAAAAUUUUCAGGGAACUAGAUGGACCUUCAGUGGAAGUAAAAUUCGUGACAGCUCUUCCGAGAUCAGGGAUGUAUGGUGUCUGAGAGAUGUUUAUUUAAGAAUAUUCUUAUUGCGCGAUAUAGGGGCGAGACAAAUAGAAAUUUUCCGAUCUACAUCCGAUAGGAUGUACUAGCACCCAUUUGGCGGACGCUGCCCUGCUCGGACUCGCCGUCGAGCAGCAUCUCCUCCCUUGGAGAUAAUCGGCGAACGCGUCUCUCGCUUCGUGCAUUUCUUCCUCCGCCGUCUUCCCUUCGCUCCUUCGUCGGCCUCGUCGUCCAGUCUUUCUCCCGGCUUUCUCCGUCUCGCCCUUGCGCAGCAGUUCGCGCGCGCGGUGCGCGUCUUCGCGCGGCAUUGGGCAUUGCACUCGACGGCGCUUCUCGAGGGCGGUCUCGCGGGUUGAUGCACGCGGAAUGCAACCGAAGGCGGCCGACGUGCACCGGGGACGACCGAAGUGGGCUACCAGCGCCGCGCUUGCAGCUGCAACGGUCAUCUCGGGUUCGAUGCACUCCGCACGCCCAGGCUCUGUGCAUGCACGAUUCUGCACGAAUGACUCAGCCGGCCCGGCGCACGAGGAAUACGACCUUGACCCGGCUGCACGUAGGUGCAUCGCACCUUCGCGCUGAGACCAAGAACAAAAUAUGUCGUCACUCGCCAAUCUCACCGCGCUACGAAUUUUGUAGAUUCUACCUUCUAAUAUUGUUUUAUCGCUGUCUCUUGUGAAGAACUUUCACUAUUAGUUGCACGUCACGCAAUACAAUUAGAUACUUGACGCACAGCGUAGUGGUAUAAAGUUGCGAAAGUAUCCUUCGUUGCGCACUAGAUUUAUUUAAUCAUCGCGUAAACAGAGAUAUAAUGCUUUAUUCUUGCGUUAUCACGAGAGACGCUAACGAAGCUCGUGUGACCUUCACAGAAGGUGGAUGAGCGAAGAACAACGAAGUCCACAGUAAACAUUGCAAAAGAGCAAUGCAAUACGAAAAAAGUAUUAAAAGUUAAUACGCGAUAUAUAGUGUAUAAAUACGAGUGGGUUAACGUAUCGUUUAACGUUUUUUGUACCGGAAAAAACUGCUAGCGAUGCGUAUCCUUCCGUAGCUAAAGGACUCGAAUUAAUGCAGUUAAUUUACGUUUGUGCAUAGUUCAAAGUGUGUUGUCCUCAACGGUCGAGUUCAACGACUCCUGGACAAGAGUAAGACAAAAGGUUUGUUUUUUAUUCCUGCACUGCUGCACUGGUGCAAUAAGUUAGAAUAAGACAAAUAUAUUUUUUCUUAUUCUAACUUAUUGCAACGAGUGCAGCAGUGUAGGAAUAACAAACAAACCUAAAGAUUAAAACCCUUAUAUACAUAUAUAUGCAAUAUAUAUAUAUAUAUAUAUAUUGCAUAUACGUAUAAAAUACUCACACACACACGUAUAUUUUCAAGGUAUCUUUAUAGAACACAGUGUCAUCGACACGCCGCAGGGUGUAUCCAUUGUAAAGGUCAACGCAUCUAUUGUGGAUAACCUCAUUGACCAUCGCGCCCGUCGAUCACGGAAUGUUUAAUUCGUUUUCACAAGCACGCAUCACGUUCAUGCAUUUCAAUUGAGCUUAUAUCGCUCGAGGUAUAAUAUAAUGUUCAUGUUUUGAUUAUCCUACACAGGCAGUUGAAAUAUCUCUUCAAAAUUUCACAAAUACGAUAUAUCUCUUUGAAAUAUUGUUCUUCAUAAAGUCUAGGAAGAAUAAGAUUCAAAUUCGGUCUAAAAAGAUAUCUAAUCUCACGUAUUUUCUACUUUGUGCACUCUUAAAUUCUGAAAGCUUUAUAAUACUCUACGUUAUCAAUUUUGAUAUCGUGAGCCAUGUUUGGAGUGAUAUAAUUUGUUUGUUAAAUUUUUGGACGUUAUGUCUAAACACAUUUCUAAAUUGUCGAAUAAACGUCACGAGGAAAAUUUAACUCCAUGAUAAUAUGUAGGCGUGAAA